rnacentral:rRNA from 1 species
AGUGGCGGACGGGUGAGUAACGCGUGGGUAACCUGCCUCACACUGGGGGAUAACAGUUAGAAAUAGCUGCUAAUACCGCAUAAGCGCACGGUUCCGCAUGGAACAGUGUGAAAAACUCCGGUGGUGUGAGAUGGACCCGCGUCUGAUUAGCCAGUUGGCGGGGUAACGGCCCACCAAAGCGACGAUCAGUAGCCGGCCUGAGAGGGUGAACGGCCACAUUGGGACUGAGACACGGCCCAGACUCCUACGGGAGGCAGCAGUGGGGAAUAUUGCGCAAUGGGGGAAACCCUGACGCAGCAACGCCGCGUGAUUGAAGAAGGCCUUCGGGUUGUAAAGAUCUUUAAUCAGGGACGAAACAAAUGACGGUACCUGAAGAAUAAGCUCCGGCUAACUACGUGCCAGCAGCCGCGGUAAUACGUAGGGAGCAAGCGUUAUCCGGAUUUACUGGGUGUAAAGGGCGCGCAGGCGGUAUGGCAAGUCAGAAGCGAAAACCCAGGGCUUAACUCUGGGACUGCUUUUGAAACUGUCAGACUGGAGUGCAGGAGAGGUAAGCGGAAUUCCUAGUGUAGCGGUGAAAUGCGUAGAUAUUAGGAGGAACAUCAGUGGCGAAGGCGGCUUACUGGACUGAAACUGACACUGAGGCACGAA